GCAAAACAUAGUAAAAGAAAUUUUAGUUUUUAAAAUGAUCUAGAAUGUUGUUAAAUUAUUAAUAUCAUUCAUUGUGUAAAAGUAAAAUAAAAUUAAAACUUGUAGCAGAUAGAAUAAUACACUGAUGAAAGAUUAUGGAUUGGUGUGAAUAAGCAUCAGAGGAUAUUGUAAACAAACUAAUUUUUGUGUCGUUUUUUUCUCUCUAUAAAAUGAAUCAAACAAAUCAAAACAAACCAACAAAAUCAGAAAAUUACAAAAAUGUGUCUCUAUUAAAUUGGCUGAAAAGAAAGAAAAGAAAAUAAGUUUACAAAAGUAAACUAUCUUAGUAUCAAAUACCAAAAUGUUAAAAUUUGUUGUACAUGUAACUGACCAAAAUAAAAACAAAAACACAUUGCAUGACUUUAAAGCUAUGUGCAAAAUAUUAAAAAGCUAGAAAAUCCCAGAGGAAAUUGUUAUGAAUGAACAUUGGCAGACACGUGAACAGAUGUUAACCUGUAUGUUGGCAAAUUAGAUAAUGUUAUUGAACUCUACUGUUCUUGUACUGACAAUAUACUUUAGUGUUGAUGUUAGGGUAAGGCUUAUAGUUAGCGAUCAAGCUUAGCUGUUAGGGAUAGCAGUCAGGCUUAGCUGUUAGGGAUAGCAGUCAGGCUUAGCUGUUAGGGAUAGCUGUUAGGCUUAGCUGUUAGGGAUAGCUGUUAGGUUUAGCUGUUAUGGAUAGUGGUCAGGCUUAGCUGUUAGAGAUAACAGUCAGGCUUAGCUGUUAAGGAUAGUGGUCAGGCUUAGCUGUUAGGGAUAACAGUCAGGCUUAGCUGUUAGGGAUAGCGGUCAGGUUUAGCUGUUAGAGAUAACAGUCAGGCUUAGCUGUUAGGGAUAGCGGUCAGGCUAAGCUGUUAGGGAUAGCGGUCAGGCUUAGCUGUUAGCAAUAGCAGUCAGGCUUAGCUGUUAGAGAUAGUGGUCAGGCUUAGCUGUUUGGGAUAGUAGACAGAAUUAUCGGUUUGGGUUAGGGUUAACUCUGUUUAUAAUUUAAAUUUGCUUGUACUUAUUAUCAUACGAAAUAAACAGGAUGAAAUCUGUUUUCCAGGUUUUCUUGAUACAACUCAAAAACUAUCAUCCCGGGACUUCUAACUAUUACAAUUGGAAAACAAACACUGUCUAUUUUCAAAUUAAAAUAUGGUCAUUCAAAUAGGUAAAGUUUUUGACACAUGACAAACUU
rnacentral:lncRNA from 1 species